CCUUCGUGCCCCCGAUUAUCUUAGCUCCAAGACUUUAGGUGAUGUCACGAUGCUACAAUUCCGGUUUCGUGAUUUUUGGAAGCUUACGCCGCGAGCUGCGACAAUCUGUACCGAAAUCGGCCUUUUCUUCAAUAUCUUCGCGUAGCCUCGUUGUAUCGCCGAACCGACUUCGCCAGCGCGUUCGUAUACCUAACAAUUAGGUUCGCAUAGGUUCAAUUUAGAUCAAACCUCUACAUAAUGUAAAACCCCAAUUUGAGCCUUAACAUGCUACUAUUGCAAGAAAUCACCAAAUUGGAACUUGAUUCAUGCAAUUAACAUGUUAUUAGCAUCUAGGGAGUUCUCUAAACCCAUUCCUAGAGCAUACGAAUCAAUCCAUAGCAAUCUACCAUAGUUACUACCAAAGCUUACCUCCAAAGCUUUCUCUAAUAGAGAGAAAGAAGAUGAAAGCUUGAGCUCCAAGCUACUCUCCAACUUC
rnacentral:lncRNA from 1 species